rnacentral:lncRNA from 1 species
CGCUCGCGGCGGAGGCGCCGGGGCCACCGCUCGGGGGCGAGGGCUCGAGCGCUCCUCCCGCUUUACGGCUGCUGAAAACCCGGCCCGCGCCCGGCAGCCGUACCGCAGACGAGCCCGCGCCCGCGCCGCUCAGCUUAACAGACUACCCAGUGAUUUGACAUCUUGGGGCAUCUCCUAGUUCUAAGAAGCACUCACAGCAUAGUCAGCUUCCAGAGGGGGCCAUUCAGCU